rnacentral:rRNA from 1 species
UACGUAGGGGGCAAGCGUUGUCCGGAAUCAUUGGGCGUAAAGCGCGUGUAGGCGGCUCGGUAAGUCUGCUGUGAAAGUCCAGGGCUCAACCCUGGAAUGCCGGUGGAAACUGUCGAGCUUGAGUCCGGAAGAGGCGAGUGGAAUUCCUGGUGUAGCGGUGAAAUGCGCAGAUAUCAGGAGGAACACCGGUGGCGAAGGCGGCCUGCUGGGACAAUGCUGACGCUGAGGCGCGACAGCGUGGGGAGCAAACAGG